UCUUCUUCUUCUUCUUCUUCUUCAAGUGCGUUUGUUUCUUUCCUCCUCCAAGGAAGGUCUCUCUGGUUGUGGUCGUACCAGUCCAACAAUGAUUCCCUGAUCUUCUGGGUUUCUUUGUCGCUGAAAAUGUCUUCAAUGUCAGGAAUUCCUUCCUCAUUUUCGUUGAUAAAUUUCCUCUUCUUCCUCGGCUGAGCCUUUCUCUUCUUCUUGGGUUUUUUCAUGUCCUCCAUUGCUGCAAUUGGAGCAGAGUAGGAGCCUUGGGUCCCUCGUAGAAAUGCUUUUAUGAAGCUAAUGC
rnacentral:misc_RNA from 1 species